rnacentral:rRNA from 1 species
AUUGAACGCUGGCGGCAUGCCUUACACAUGCAAGUCGAACGGCAGCGCGGACUUCGGUCUGGCGGCGAGUGGCGAACGGGUGAGUAAUGUAUCGGAACGUACCAUUGAGUGGGGGAUAACGUAGCGAAAGUUACGCUAAUACCGCAUAUUCUCUCCGGAGGAAAGCAGGGGACCGCAAGGCCUUGCGCUCUUUGAGCGGCCGAUAUCAGAUUAGCUAGUUGGUGGGGUAAAAGCUCACCAAGGCGACGAUCUGUAGCGGGUCUGAGAGGAUGAUCCGCCACACUGGAACUGAGACACGGUCCAGACUCCUACGGGAGGCAGCAGUGGGGAAUUUUGGACAAUGGGGGCAACCCUGAUCCAGCCAUGCCGCGUGAGUGAAGAAGGCCUUCGGGUUGUAAAGCUCUUUCGGCCGGGAAAAAAUCGUACAGGUUAAUACCCUGUGUGGAUGACGGUACCGGAAUAAGAAGCACCGGCUAACUACGUGCCAGCCGCCGCAGUAACAC